GUGAGGAAUUUUCCGCAAUGGGCGAAAGCCUGACGGAGCAAUGCCGCGUGAAGGAUGAAGGCCUAUGGGUUGUAAACUUCUUUUCUCAGAAAAGAAUUAUGACGGUAUCUGAGGAAUAAGCAUCGGCUAACUCUGUGCCAGCAGCCGCGGUAAGACAGAGGAUGCAAGCGUUAUUCGGAAUGAUUGGGCGUAAAGCGUCUGUAGGUUGUUUAAAAAGUAUUCUGUCAAAGAUUAGGGCUUAACCCUAGAUAGGCAGAAUAAACUUUUAAGCUAGAGUUUGGUAGAGGCAGAGGGAAUUCCCGGUGGAGCGGUGAAAUGCGUAGAUAUCGGGAGGAACACCAAAGGCGAAGGCACUCUGCUGGGCCAAUACUAACACUGAGAGACGAAAGCGAGGGGAGCAAAUGGGAUUAGAAACCCGUGUAGUCC
rnacentral:rRNA from 1 species